rnacentral:rRNA from 1 species
CUACGGGGCGCUGCAGACGAGAAUCUUCCGCAAUGGACGAAAGUCUGACGGAGCGACGCCGCGUGCGGGAUGAAGGCCUUCGGGUUGUAAACCGCUGUCAGUGGGGAGGAAAUGCGCCAGGGUUCUCCCUGGUGUUUGACCGAUCCGCAGAGGAAGCGCAGGCUAAGUUCGUGCCAGCAGCCGGCGGUAACACGAACUGCGCGAACGUUAUUCGGAAUCACUGGGCUUAAAGAGUUCGUAGGCGGCCUUUCAAGUCGGGUGUGAAAUCCCUCGGCUCAACCGAGGAAUUGCGCCUGAUACUGUUGGGCUAGAGGGGGAUAGGGGUGAGCGGAACUGAUGGUGGAGCGGUGAAAUGCGUUGAUAUCAUCAGGAACACCGGUGGCGAAGGCGGCUCACUGGAUCUCUUCUGACGCUGAGGAACGAAAGCUAGGGGAGCGAACGGGAUUAGAUACCCGGGUAGUC